rnacentral:rRNA from 1 species
AGCUCCAAUAGCGUAUAUUAAUGUUGUUGUUUUUAAAAAGCUCUUCUUUUUCUCUCUUCAGAUUGAGGGCGUUUUGCUUGCUAGUAUUACUGCCCUAUAAUCUGUAGUUUUGCCAGAGGUUUUAGGGUGCUCUUAAUCGAGUGUCCUGGGAUGCUGGCAGGUUUACUUUGAAAAAAUUAGAGUGCUCAAAGCAGGCUGUUACGCCUGAAUAUUCGUGCAUGGAAUAAUAGAAUAGGAAGGCGUUUCUAUUUUGUUGGUGUUCGGAAAUCGACUUAAUGAUGAAUAGGGACAGUCGGGGGCAUUUGUAUUCAAACGACAGAGGUGAAAUUCUUGGACCGUUUGAAGACAAACUACUGCGAAAGCAUUUGCCAAGAAUGUUUUCA